AGUCGAACGGAAAGGCCUCUUGCUUGCAAGGGGUACUCGAGUGGCGAACGGGUGAGUAACACGUGGGUGAUCUGCCUUGCACUCUGGGAUAAGCUUGGGAAACUGGGUCUAAUACCGGAUAUGAACUGCCUUUAGUGUGGUGGUUGGAAAGUUUUUUCGGUGCAAGAUGAGCUCGCGGCCUAUCAGCUUGUUGGUGGGGUAAUGGCCUACCAAGGCGUCGACGGGUAGCCGGCCUGAGAGGGUGUACGGCCACAUUGGGACUGAGAUACGGCCCAGACUCCUACGGGAGGCAGCAGUGGGGAAUAUUGCACAAUGGGCGGAAGCCUGAUGCAGCGACGCCGCGUGGGGGAUGACGGCCUUCGGGUUGUAAACUCCUUUCGACAGGGACGAAGCUUUUUGUGACGGUACCUGUAUAAGAAGCACCGGCUAACUACGUGCCAGCAGCCGCGGUAAUACGUAGGGUGCGAGCGUUGUCCGGAAUUACUGGGCGUAAAGAGCUCGUAGGUGGUUUGUCGCGUCGUCUGUGAAAUUCCGGGGCUUAACUUCGGGCGUGCAGGCGAUACGGGCAUAACUUGAGUGCUGUAGGGGAGACUGGAAUUCCUGGUGUAGCGGUGAAAUGCGCAGAUAUCAGGAGGAACACCGAUGGCGAAGGCAGGUCUCUGGGCAGUUACUGACGCUGAGGAGCGAAAGCAUGGGUAGCAAAC
rnacentral:rRNA from 1 species